AUAAAGCUCUGUAUGGACUGAAGCAAGCGCCUAGAGCUUGGAAUCUGAAAAUUGAUUCAUUUUUCAAGAAGCGGGAGUUUCAGAAAUGUGAGAUGGAAUAUGGAGUUUAUAUACAACACUAUGAUAACAAUAUGAUUCUGGUAUGUCUCUAUGUUGAUGAAAUUUUGCUAACAGGUAGCUGCCCAAAAGAUAUAAAGAAGUUCAAAGAAGUUCUAAUGAAUGAGUUCGAGAUGAGAGAUCUAGGAAAAAUGACAUAUUUCCCAGGGAUGGAGAUUAUGUACUCGAAAAAGGGUAUCAUU